rnacentral:rRNA from 1 species
CGGAGAACUGAAACAUCUUAGUACCCGGAGGAAGAGAAAGAAAAAUCGAUUCCCUGAGUAGCGGCGAGCGAAACGGGAAGAGCCCAAACCAACAAGCUUGCUUGUUGGGGUUGUAGGACACUCUAUACGGAGUUACAAAAGAACAUGUUAGACGAAUCAUCUGGAAAGAUGAAUCAAAGAAGGUAAUAAUCCUGUAGUCGAAAACAUAUUCUCUCUUGAGUGGAUCCUGAGUACGACGGAGCACGUGAAAUUCCGUCGGAAUCUGGGAGGACCAUCUCCUAAGGCUAAAUACUCUCUAGUGACCGAUAGUGAACCAGUACCGUGAGGGAAAGGUGAAAAGUACCCCGGAAGGGGAGUGAAAGAGAACUUGAAACCGUGUGCUUACAAGUAGUCAGAGCCCGUUAAUGGGUGAUGGCGUGCCUUU